rnacentral:tRNA from 1 species
CAUUAAGUAGCUUAAACAAAGUAUUGGUCUCUUAAACCAAAUUAUAGUAUAAACUAAAUACUCUUGAUG